AGCACUUUGAAAAGAGAGUCAAAGAGACCGUGAAACCGUUGGGAGGGAAGCGAACGGGUCCAUGACGACUCCACUCAGGUUCAGGGUGCGCCGGGAGCGGCUCUGCCGCGUUUGGGAGCUCUGUCGAGAGCCGACGUGCGGUCAGAGUGGCCUCGGUGCGCCUGCAGUCUCGUUUGGAGUCCGCCAACGGCGGUCGACGGUGUCCCAACAGGUCCGGUGGGGAGGUGAUUCCGCUUUCCCCGGGAGGCGGAAUGCGUAUAGCCCGUCCGGUUCGGAGGGCACCGGCGUCCGAGGUGUGUUGCCGAACGUGGCACGUUGCGGUGCAGGCUCGACCGUUUAAGUGGGCCGGCUCGCUCGUGGGUUCGCGUGCUUCGCGGCGGAGCGCUGGCGUCAGUGCCCGUCGACGACAACGUCGCGCUUGCUCUGCGAGGUCGAGCACGAUGUGUGCCGCAGUCGUUGGUGGUCGUAUGGCUCCGUCCGACCCGUCUUGAAACACGGACCAAGGAGUGCAAGAGGCGUGCGAGUCUUUGGGUGGUCGUGCGAAACCCUUUGGCGCAAUGAAAGUGAAGGCGUCGGCUUGUGCCGUCGCCGAGGCGAGAGCCGGGCUCUAUACUGUACCCGGCGCAUCGUCGACCGAUCCGCGGCUACGCCGUAGCUGGGUUCGAGUGAGAGCGUGUCUGUUGCGACCCGAAAGAUGGUGAACUAUGCCUGAAUGGGGCGAAGCCAGAGGAAACUCUGGUGGAAGCUCGCAGCGGUUCUGACGUGCAAAUCGAUCGUCAAAUUUGGGUAUAGGGGCGAAAGACUAAUCGAACCGUCUAGUAGCUGGUUCCCUCCGAAGUUUCCCCCAGGAUAGCUGGAGCCCGGUGCAGUUUUAUCAGGUAAAGCGAAUGAUUAGAGGUCUUGGGGUUGAAACAACCUCAACCUAUUCUCAAACUUUAAAUGGGUAAGAAGCUCGGCUUGCUCGGUUGAAGUCGGGCGGCAGAAUGCCGGGGCUCCUAGUGGGCCAUUUUUGGUAAGCAGAACUGGCGAUGCGGGAUGAACCGAACGCCGGGUUAAGGUGCCCGAAUCGACGCUCAUCAGAACCCAUAAAAGGUGUUGGUUGAUUUAGACAGCAGGACGGUGGCCAUGGAAGUCGGAAUCCGCUAAGGAGUGUGUAACAACUCACCUGCCGAAUCAACUAGCCCUGAAAAUGGAUGGCGCUGAAGCGUCGUACCCACACCCGGCCGUCGGCGCGAGAGUCGCGCGCCGACGUGUAGGAGGGCGCGGCGGUGGCCGUGCAUCCCGAGGCGCGAGCCCGGGCGAAGCCGCCGCCGGUGCAGAUCUUGGUGGUAGUAGCAAAUAUUCAAAUGAGGGGUUUGAAGACCGACGUGGAGCAGGGUUCCAUGUGACCAUCAGUUGGACAUGGGUUAGUCGAUCCUAAGAGAAGGGAGAGCUCCCUGUGGAAGGCGCGCCACUCGCUUCCGAGCGACUGCGCCGCGGCUCGAAAGGGAAUCGGGUUAACAUUCCCGAACCGGGACGUGGAUGGGCCCUCGGGCCGUCAGCGGCAACGCGAGCGACCUCGGAGACGUCGGCGAGAGCUCCGGCAAGAGUUGUCUUUUCUUGUUAACAGGCCGUGUACCCCUGGAAUCAGGUUGGCUGGAGAUAGGGUCCGGUGCCUGGUAAAGCGCCACACUUGUUGUGGCGUCCGGUGCGCUCUCGACGGCCCGUGAAAAUCCGAGCGAGCGGUUGAUUCUCACGCCCGGUCGUACCGAUAAC
rnacentral:rRNA from 1 species